CCUACGGGUGGCAGCAGUGGGGAAUAUUGCACAAUGGGGGAAACCCUGAUGCAGCGACGCCGCGUGAGUGAAGAAGUAUUUCGGUACGUAAAGCUCUAUCAGCAGGGAAGAAAAAAAUUCCUUGGGACUUUUGACGUUACCUGACCACGAAGCCCCGGCUAACUACGUGCCAGCAGCCGCGGUGAUACGUAGGGGGCAAGCGUUAUCCGGAUUUACUGGGUGUAAAGGGAGCGUAGACGGCGGCGCCAGUCUGGAGUGAAAUGCCGGGGCCCAACCCCGGAACUGCUGUGGAAACUGUGGAGCUGGAGUGCAUGAGAGGCAAGCGGAAUUCCUGGUGUAGCGGUGAAAUGCGUAGAUAUUAGGCGGAACCCC
rnacentral:rRNA from 1 species